AAACCAACAGGGAUUGCCCUAGUAACGGCGAGUGAAGCGGCAACAGCUCAAAUUUGAAAUCUGGCCCUCGGGUCCGAGUUGUAAUUUGUAGAGGAUGCUUUUGGCGCGGUGCCUUCCGAGUUCCCUGGAACGGGACGCCUUAGAGGGUGAGAGCCCCGUAUGGUUUGACACCAAGCCUCUGUAUAGCUCCUUCGACGAGUCGAGUAGUUUGGGAAUGCUGCUCUAAAUGGGAGGUAAAUUUCUUCUAAAGCUAAAUAUUGGCCAGAGACCGAUAGCGCACAAGUAGAGUGAUCGAAAGAUGAAAAGCACUUUGAAAAGAGGGUUAAAUAGCACGUGAAAUUGUUGAAAGGGAAGCGUUUGCGACCAGACCUUUUCCUAGCGGAUCAGCUUGUGUUCAUCACUGGUGUACUUCGCUAGGUUUAGGCCAGCAUCGGUUUCUAUAGGGGGAUAAAAGCUCUGGGAAUGUGGCUCCUCCGGGAGUGUUAUAGCCCUCUGCAUAAUACCUUUAUGGGGACCGAGGACCGCGCUUCGGCAAGGAUGCUGGCGUAAUGGUCGUCAACGAC
rnacentral:rRNA from 1 species